ACUAUCGUGAGGUAGCAGGGAGAGGAAGGGAUAGCGAAAUCGUGGCUCUACGAACAGGAACGUGAUAGUAAGGCGUAUAUAGCGGAUAAGGGGCCUCAAACUCUAAAGUCCAAAAAGGUAGUCGUAACCUAUAUGCGUAAAUCACGAGAGUAAUUGAAUUCGGACU
rnacentral:ncRNA from 1 species